UUGAGGGAUGAUGACAAUCGUUGACCCUGUUUUUCUGUUAGACAAAUUGCACAGUUGGAUGCCAGACUGAUCGUUUGGUCAUGAACGGAUGCCGGGACUUACCAGAAAGAACAAAGCUUAUCAGGCAAGACCUCAGAAUAAAAGUAUCAUGCGACACAAGUAUCCCUGUGCCACCUCCGUUUUUGCCAGUGUCCCUCAACUCCUAAGAAAAAGACUCUCCAUCAUGAGGCCUCUGAUACUGACCUGAGGUAUUGCCCUGAUGACACAGAAGGCUUAAUCAACAACGACAGUUUUUCAAGAUAUGUCCAGUUUGCAGCAGAACAUGCAGCAUAGAGAAGACCAGCAAUGGAGCCCUUAUAAGCAUCAUGCCGACAUGCACUUGCUGUGAGCAUUCCUAUGAAUGGUACAGUAUUGCCAAGUAUCCAGCCAGCAACCUUCACCUGUCAGCGGCAACAGCUUUCACAGGCUCAUCAUUUGUACAAAUACAGAAUGUAACUUACUUUGACAAAUUAGAUAACACUAUUGUGAAGUACAAUUAUUGUAAGCUGAUAUUUUAGAGGAUAGCUCAGCUUUAAUAUUGCAGAUAUAUUGUGGCAUCUAUCAAUGUAAUUGUCUGCAUAAUUUCCA